AUUGAACGCUGGCGGAAUGCUUUACACAUGCAAGUCGAACGGCAGCACGGACUUCGGUCUGGUGGCGAGUGGCGAACGGGUGAGUAAUGUAUCGGAACGUGCCCAGUCGUGGGGGAUAACGUAGUGAAAAUUACGCUAAUACCGCAUACGAUCUAUGGAUGAAAGCGGGGGAUCGCAAGACCUCGCGCGAUUGGAGCGGCCGAUAUCAGAUUAGGUAGUUGGUGGGGUAAAGGCCCACCAAGCCAACGAUCUGUAGCUGGUCUGAGAGGACGACCAGCCACACUGGAACUGAGACACGGUCCAGACUCCUACGGGAGGCAGCAGUGGGGAAUUUUGGACAAUGGGCGAAAGCCUGAUCCAGCCAUUCCGCGUGCAGGAUGAAGGCCCUCGGGUUGUAAACUGCUUUUGUACAGAACGAAAAGGUUUCUACUAAUACUAGGAGCUCAUGACGGUACUGUAAGAAUAAGCACCGGCUAACUACAUGCCAGCAGCCCGCAGUAA
rnacentral:rRNA from 1 species